GCUACUUAUGCUUCUAGGGCCUAAGAGACCUUGCAGCUUCCACCUUCUCCUUCCAGGAGUACUGCCCUGACAUCAUCUUGGGAGGAAGCUGGUUUAGCUACUGGGUGAUGAGCAGCAUUGUGGAAAAGAUCCAGUGAACUCUAUUGCCUGUUCCAUGGGUGGACUGCUUGUAGACAUUUCAGUUCCCAUCUGACUACAACACCAUGAAUGAUCCAGACUGUGUGUGCAUCGUGACUUUGGCUGACUGGAGCUCUGCCUGUCAUGGGCUUGAUGUCCAAGGGAAUUACAACUGGGGCCACCACUGUUAGAUGGACAGAGAUGAAGACAUCCAAGAUUGGUGUGGCCUAGAAGCUUGGGCUCGCUGAGGCAGCAGGCCAGCUAUGAAACAGCUGGUGUCAAUGAUGCGGAUGGCUGAAGUUUUAUUUGGAGAACAGCAGUUGGUAUAAAACCUCUUCUGCUGCUUGCAUUUAAAAUACCCCAUACAGACACACACCAUGGAGAGGAUGGCAAGGCUGAAAUUUUCCAACAUGGUACUUAAACCUAAGUUUAAGGACCAGAUGAGCUUGGAUUGCACCUGACCAUUUUUUUUUUUCAAUUAAAUUUUUUCUCUGUUACAUGUACCCAAGAUUGAUUCAUUUGUAUGUGGACCUUCUGACUUUUAAAUGAAUAAAAUCAUUGUAUUUCAUUUUUAAUGAAGGAAGAAGAGAAGAAAAUAGGCACAAAAGUCUGAAAUAAAAGUUGGGUUAGGCUUCUUCCUAAA